rnacentral:rRNA from 1 species
AUCGAUGAAGAACGCAGCGAAAUGCGAUAAGUAAUGUGAAUUGCAGAAUUCAGUGAAUCAUCGAAUCUUUGAACGCACAUUGCGCCCUGUGGUAUUCCGCAGGGCAUGCCUGUUCGAGCGUCAUUAUAACCACUCAAGCCUGGCUUGGUAUUGGAGUUUGCGAUCUCGCAGCUCCUAAAAUCAGUGGCGGUGCUGGUGUGGCUCUACGCGUAGUAAUUCUUCUCGCGAUGGAGUUCCACUGGUUGCUUGCCAGAACCCCCAAUUUUUACAGGUUGACCUCGGAUCAGGUAGGGAUACCCGCUGAACUUAAGCAUAUCAAUAAGCGGAGGAAAAGAAACCAACAGGGAUUACCUCAGUAACGGCGAGUGAAGCGGUAACAGCUCAAAUUUGAAAGCUGCCAACAGGCCGCAUUGUACUUUGUAGAAGAUGCUUUGGGUGUUGACCUAGUCUAAGUUCCUUGGAACAGGACGUCAUAGAGGGUGAGAAUCCCGUAUGUGAUUAGUGUCAGCCCCCAUGUAAAGCUCUUUCGACGAGUCGAGUUGUUUGGGAAUGCAGCUCAAAAUGGGUGGUAAAUUUCAUCUAAAGCUAAAUAUUGGCCAGAGACCGAUAGCGCACAAGUAGAGUGAUCGAAAGAUGAAAAGCACUUUGGAAAGAGAGUUAAACAGUACGUGAAAUUGUUGAAAGGGAAGCGCUUGCAAUCAGACUUGCAGGCAGUCGAUCAUCCGAGGUUCUCCUCGGUGCACUCGAUUGUCUUCAGGCCAGCAUCGGUUUCGGUGGUGGGAUAAAGGCUGUGGGAAUGUGGCUCUUCGGAGUGUUAUAGCCCACGGUGCAAUGCCGCCUACCGGGACCGAGGACCGCGCUUCGGCUAGGAUGCUGGCGUAAUGGUUGUAAGCGACCCGUCUUGAAACACGG